rnacentral:tRNA from 1 species
GACCUGGUAGCUCAGUAGGUUAGAGCAUUACACUUUUAAUGUAAGGGUCCUGGGUUCGACUCCCAGUCAGGUUA